UACACUUAAAUAACGAAAGCCCUGCCUUCUCUUUCAUCUUUGCGGCCCCUUGGCCACUCCAUUUGAUUUAAGACUUGCGAUGCGUA
rnacentral:sRNA from 1 species